rnacentral:rRNA from 1 species
CCCGCUGAACUUAAGCAUAUCAAUAAGCGGAGGAAAAGAAACUAACAAGGAUUCCCCUAGUAACUGCGAGUGAAGCGGGAAGAGCUCAAAUUUAAAAUCUGGCGUGCCUCUGGUCGUCCGAAUUGUAGUCUGAAGAAGCGUUUUCCGUGUUGGACCGUGUAUAAGUCUCUUGGAACAGGGCGUCAUAGAGGGUGAGAAUCCCGUCUUUGACACGGACUACCAAUGCUUUGUGAUGCGCUCUCAAAGAGUCGAGUUGUUUGGGAAUGCAGCUCAAAAUGGGUGGUAAAUUCCAUCUAAAGCUAAAUAUAGGCGAGAGACCGAUAGCGAACAAGUACCGUGAGGGAAAGAUGAAAAGCACUUUGGAAAGAGAGUUAAACAGUACGUGAAAUUGCUGAAAGGGAAACGCUUGAAGUCAGUCGUGUCUGCCAGGACUCAGCCUCGCUUCUGCUUGGUGCACUUUCUGGUUGGAUGGGCCAACAUCAAUUUUGACCGUUGGAGAAAGGCUCGGGGAAUGUGGCACUUUCGAGUGUGUUAUAGCCCUUUGUCGUAUACGACGGUUGGGAUUGAGGACUGCAGCACGCCUUUAUGGCCGGGGUCGCCCACGUA